rnacentral:lncRNA from 1 species
AUAUUACCUAAAGCUAUGAAUAUUGACACCCUGCUACUAAAAUUAUUCACAAUCAAACAGUAUCAAAGCAUAGCACCCUUAUUUCUAAUGUUUUCCUAAAAAUUUCUAGACAGCUCCUAACUGGUUUGAAGAGUACACUUAAGCCUCCAAUCCGGUCUAAUAACCUAGUCGACCAGGUAAGCUCCCAGGUAAGUGGAGGGGUCACGAUGCGUAUAGCAA